rnacentral:rRNA from 1 species
AUUGAACGCUAGCGGGAUGCUUUACACAUGCAAGUCGAGCGAGCGGCGGACGGGUGAGUAAUGUAUGGGGACUGCCCGAUAGAGGGGGAUAACUACUGGAAACGGUAGCUAAUACCGCAUACUAUCGGAUAACCCAUAUGGGAUUAGCUAGUAGGUGAGGUAAUGGCGCACCUAGGCGACGAUCCCUAGCUGGUCUGAGAGGAUGAUCAGCAACACUGGGACGGAGACAAGGCCCAGACUCCGACGGAGGCAGCAGUGGGGAAUAUUGCACAAGGGGCGCAAGCCUGAUGCAGCCAUGCCGCGUGUAUGAAGAAGGCCCUAGGGUUGGAAAGUACUUUCAGUCGGGAGGCGUUACCGACAGAAGAAGCACCGGCUAACUCCGUGCAAGCAGCCGCGGUAAUAC